AGAAACCCAAACCUCACCAUAUUUAAUUAUCUUUGCCAUGUUUCUUGUUCCAUACCAUUUAUGUACCCACAAGCAACCCAACAUUUAUUUUUUUUAAACAAAACAGGGUGGAUCACAUGGAGUACUUUGAAUGAUAGAGUACAUGAUAUAGUCCUAAAUAAUUUGGCUUACUUCUUGCAAAUUUACAAAAAUCAAUUCAACAGUUGUGCAGAAUCUGUAUAGGUUUACCCAAAAUUGUUUCUUUCUCAAUUGAAGUGUAAUUUUACCAUACAAUGAAGAAAUUCAAAUAUGGUGGUGAUUCUCAUUACAACAGUGUAGAAAAAAUCAAACUUACCACAUAAGCAUACAAAAAUUCAAAGUGGGGCAUUAUAUGAUUUACUCAACUGUCUAAAAAGUAUGGAGGAAAUACAAAGUAAAUAAUAAUGUGGUUGUAAUGGGGUUUCUUAAAUGGUGGCUACAAUAUGUUUGCAGUAUUGUGUGCAUAACACAUUUUAUGUGAAGCCACAGCAUUUAAACCCCAAAAAAUCAAUAUUGCUUGGUUGUUAACUUACUAUGCAUGACUAGAAUAUGAAAAAUUAGAAUAUGAGAUAAGUGAUCACUUUUGCGAAUGAUAAUUAUAGCUCAUCCUUUUGGGCAUUGGAGUUUUCAUGAUUAGAUGGCAAAAAUUUAUGCUUUUCUGCGUCAAAUAAUUUUAUAUUUCAAUAAUAAAUUACCAAGAAUACACAGAAAUGCUCUUACAUUAUACUUGAAGUAAUGAAUAAACAAAAUAAAAAAUCAGAAGCAUAAUAAGUAUCUAGAAAUAUUCAGAUUCAUUCCAGUUUUUUUGAAAUUUUGAAAUUUUGUUGAUUCAUUCAUUUCAAUAUUUCAAUUAUUAAAAUGAAAAUUCCUUUGUGUGUGUAAAAUACACACGAUUAUAUAAAAUGUGUUAAACCUUGGAGGUUGGCUGUCGAGAAGAAAAAUAAUUAUUACAUUUAUUACUGAAAUCGUUGUGUAAUUACAAAUACAAAUAAAUAAAUCUUGUCAUAAUCAUAAAUUGGUGUCAUUUUCUUAAAUAAGUUCAUAUAUUUUUAAUAAAAAAAAAAUCCAAAUAAUGAAACUGUGAAACUUAAGCUUACAUAUGUUAUCACAAUAAAGUUCCCUUUAUACAUUAAUAAUUCUAUUGCUUGUAAUUAAUCUUAGCAAUCUUCUACAAACCAAGUAAAAUAUAAUUCAAACUAAAUAGUAGAUGAAUGAUUUUUUUUUUUUUUUUUAAAUGUUAAUUUCAAAUUCUUUGACAAUUAUCAUAGUAAUCCAGAAUUUUAACAAAAUCACACACCACAACUAUUAUAAGUAUUUCACAAAUUAAUAUAAAUGUUAAAUUAGUGAUAUUUUUUCGAGAUUUAUGAAUAUUGAAUUACAUACUUACUAGAGUGCUAUCUAAUGUGAAGUUUUAUUUUUCAGUAAGAAAUCAUAUUAGAGGAGGAUACAAGAAGCCAAUCAAGUUUUCUUUUACAUCAAUUGAUAUUGUCAAAUGUUUCAUAAUUUCAUUUUAAUCUAUCCAACGAUAAAUAAAAAUACACACAGUAACAAGUAUAUAUACAAAUUUAAAAUUAGAUUCUUGUGCUUGCAUUUAUUUCAGUGUUAUAUUUAUUUUAGUUUGCUUUUGGAGGCUAGUGAUUCAUUCAAACCAAGAGAAUAAUAAUGACUGUGUUUGAUAAAUAUAUAUAUAUAUAUAUAUUUACACACACUAAAAAGUUUAUGUUAUACAGCCACGGUGGUUGUGCACCCUACUUUUGAGCAUGAUGUGGACAAGUGGAGUUCUGAACUGAUGCCAAAACCAAAACUUGAGGUAUUUUGGAAAAGAAAGACAUAGAAUUUAUUGGUUUUAACAACUUGAUAUUAGAAUAGUAAAGAUUUAUUAUUUUAAUUCUAUUGUUAAAGAUCACUUAAAGUAGUGGUAGAUUACCAAGAAAGCAUGAUGCUUUCAACCAUACCAUGUCAGACUUGAAAUGUUUUUGGUACAAUAAUUUGAUGAGUAUUGAAAAGAGGAGUCAAACUUAUCAUAAAAAAUAAAAAAAUAAAAAAAUAAUAAUUAAUGGGUUGUUUGCAAAAUAGUUGUUGAUAGGAACUUUAGGAAGAUUAGAUUUAGUUUUUAUAUAUAUAAAAAAAUCAUUU